rnacentral:rRNA from 1 species
CCCGCACAAGCGGUGGAGCAUGUGGUUUAAUUCGACGCAACGCGAAGAACCUUACCAGGGCUUGACAUCCCCUGACCGCGUAUGAAAGUACGUUUUCACCCUCGGGUGACAGGGAGACAGGUGGUGCAUGGUUGUCGUCAGCUCGUGUCGUGAGAUGUUGGGUUAAGUCCCGCAACGAGCGCAACCCCUACGUUUAGUUGCUAACGCGUGAAGGCGAGCACUCUAGACGAACUGCCGUUGACAAAACGGAGGAAGGUGGGAUGACGUCAAAUCAUCAUGCCCCUUAUGUUCUGGGCUACACACGUGCUACAAUGGCCGGUACAGACGGACGCAAAGCCGCGAGGCGGAGCAAAUCCGAAAAAGCCGGUCUCAGUUCGGAUUGCAGGCUGCAAUUCGCCUGCAUGAAGUCGGAAUCGCUAGUAAUCGCAGGUCAGCAUACUGCGGUGAAUACGUUCCCGGGCCUU